AAAACAGAAUUUGGGUCACAUUUGCAUUAUAUUUCAAAGUUUUGAGGUUGCUAGUCUUAUGAGGAGGCAGGUAGGGUGUCAUUAUAUUUGUUUUACAGAUGAGGACACUGAGGUCCAGGGAGACAAAAUGGCACUCCCCAAGUCCCCUCGCUGGUCAGGGCUGUCCAGGACUGGAUGCCAGGCCUCCUGAUUUCUGGUUACUGUAGCCAGCAUGAGGCUGGGACACUGUGCUCUGCCUUUCAGGGGUUGGAGUGCUUAGCGGACAGCUGUACGCCACAGGUGGGCAUGAUGGGCCUUUGGUGAGGAAGAGCGUUGAGGUUUACGAUCCUGGAACAAAUACCUGGAAGCAAGUGGCAGACAUGAACAUGUGCCGGCGCAAUGCAGGUAAUGACUGCUCUCUCCAUCUCCCCUUUGGGGGUUGUGUGCCUUUUCUCCCUGAAGACACUGGCUCUAAACAACAGGGAGAUUUCCCAGGGUCUGGAGCUGAGUGUAUAUCCUGAACAGGGAGUGUUCAUUUGCCAGGUGGGCUCUCGGUUAGAGGAGGGGAGAAAUUGAGACCCCAAAAGCUAGCUGCAGAUCCUGCAACCUAGAUGCAGAGGAUCCCCUUUCCCCCCAGUGAAGGUGGCAAUAGAGGACCCUUGUUGUACUUCUUGUUUAAUUUGCAUAUUAUGUGUAAAAUACUUUCUUUGAAAGAAAACUGAAGACACUGAAUGUGUAUGUCUGUGUGGGUGCUCUGUCCCUGUGGUUGUCGUAGCCAGUCAGACUUGAUCACUGACACCCCGUACAACAUAUUGCAUAGGUAAGAUCCUCGAUCUGGUGUUCUCUGCA
rnacentral:sRNA from 1 species